rnacentral:tRNA from 1 species
GGGGCGCUAGUCCAAAAAGACAGCUGAUUUCGACUCAACUAAUUAUGGUUUAAACCCAUAGCACCCCU